rnacentral:rRNA from 1 species
CCCUUAGAUGUUCUGGGCGGCCCGCGCACUACAUUGGCACUAGCAAAGAGAUCCUAGAUUGAAUUCUCUGGGGUAUUCUUCUAAAUGGUGUCGUGACUGGGAUAAAUCCUUGUAAUUAUUGGUUUUGAACGAGGAAUUCCUUGUAAUCGCGGUUUAUCAGCUCGCGUUGAAUGCGUCCCUGCCCUUUGUACACACCGCCCGUCGCUCCUACCGAUGGAUCGUCCGGUGAAGCUCACGGAGUGACUGUUCACGCAACGGUUUACGAAGUGAAAUGGACCUCACGAUUUAGAGGAAGGAGAAGUCGUAACA